CCUACGGGUGGCAGCAGUGGGGGAUAUUGCACAAUGGGGGGAACCCUGAUGCAGCGACGCCGCGUGAGUGAAGACGUAUUUCGGUAUGUAAAGCUCUAUCAGCAGGGAAGAAGAAAGACGGUACCUGAGUAAGAAGCCCCGGCUAACUACGUGCCAGCAGCCGGGGUAAUACGUAGGGGGCAAGCGUUAUCCGGAUUUACUGGGUGUAAAGGGAGGGUAGACGGUAUGGCAAGUCAGAAGUGAAAGUCCCGGGCUUAACCCGUGAAUUGCUUUGGAAAAUGUUAAACUUGAGGGCUGGAGAGGCAGGCGGAAUUCCUAGUGUAGCGGUGAAAUGCGUAGAUAUUAGGAGGAACACCAGUGGCGAAGGCGGCUUGCUGGACAGUAACUGACGUUGAGGCUCGAAAGCGUGGGGAGCAAACAGGAUUAGAUACCCGAGUAGUC
rnacentral:rRNA from 1 species